rnacentral:rRNA from 1 species
UACGAAGGGGGCUAGCGUUGUUCGGAAUCACUGGGCGUAAAGGGCGCGUAGGCGGCUUUAUAAGUCGGGGGUGAAAGCCUGUGGCUCAACCACAGAAUUGCCUUCGAUACUGUAGAGCUUGAGACCGGAAGAGGUAAGUGGAACUGCGAGUGUAGAGGUGAAAUUCGUAGAUAUUCGCAAGAACACCAGUGGCGAAGGCGGCUCACUGGCCCCGAUACUGACGCUGAGGCACGAAAGCGUGGGGAGCAAACAGGG